rnacentral:rRNA from 1 species
AUGGCAACCAUACUAGAAUCUUUGCUUGGAUCAUGUGCCAAUAAGUUGAAAGAUAUCAUUACAAAUGAGGCCAUAUUAAUCCUAGGGGUGGAAGAAGAGCUCGCAGAACUGCUGCGACGAGUAGAGUUAAUACGAUGUUGUAUAUAUGAUGCUGAGAAAAGGAGGACAAAAGAGUUAGCAGUAAACAAUUGGCUUGGUCAACUGAGAGAUGUCAUAUAUGAUGUUGAUGAAAUGUUAGAUAUGGCCAGAUGUAAAGGUAGCAAGCUACUGCCUGACCAUCCUUCAUCAUCAUCAAGCAAAUUAGCUGCAUGUAAAUGCCUUUCAAUUUCCUCUUGCUUUUGUUACAUCGGGUCACGUCGUGAUGUUGCUGUUCAGAUUAGAAUUCUGAAUAAGAAGAUAGAGAACAUUUCAAAGGACAAGAUUUUUUUAACACUCAACAGUAGUACACAACCUACUGGACAGGGUUCAACAUCCAAACUGAUAAGAAGUUCCAACCUUGUUGAGCCCAACCUUGUGGGGAAGGAGAUCAUACAUUCUAGCAGGAAACUGGUUGACUUAAUUCUUGCACACAAGGAAAGUAAGUCUUACAAGCUUGCUAUUGUUGGAACAGGAGGAGUUGGUAAGACAACACUAGCUCAGAAAAUAUACAAUGACCAAAAAGUAAAAAGAAGCUUCAGGCAACAGGCAUGGGUUUGUGUUUCGCAAGACUAUAGUGAAGUAACACUUCUGAAAGAGGUUCUCCGAAAUAUUGGUGUGCAUCAUGAGCAAGGGGAAACCAUAGCAGAACUACAGAGAAAGGUUGCAGAAACAAUCAACGGAAAGAGUUUCCUUCUUGUCCUAGAUGACGUCUGGCAUCCCAAUGUAUGGAUGGAUUUAUUAAGACCUGCAUUGCAUGAAACGACCGCCGGAGUAUUAUUGCUAACCACACGAGAUGAUCAAAUUGCAAAGAGAAUAGGUGUAGAACAUACCCAUCAAGUUGAUCUCAUGUCAGUAGAGGUGGGAUGGGAGCUACUUUGGAAGAACAUGAACAUCGACAAAGAGAAAGAAGUGCAGAAUUUAAGAAACACUGGGAUUGAGAUUGUUCGCAAAUGUGGCCGCCUCCCUCUUGCUAUCAAGGUUAUUGCUAGUGCUUUGGCUGGCAGGGAUGUAACGGAGAAUGAGUGGAAAAAGUUUCUGGAAAAGUAUGCUAGCUCACAAAGCAUGUUCUCUGAUGAAACUGAAGGAGUUUUGUAUUUAAGCUACGAUGAAUUACCACAUCGUCUUAAGCAGUGUUUCCUUUAUUGUGCUUUGUAUAUUGAAGGUACUAUCAUUCUUCGUAGGGAAAUUACCAUGUUAUGGAUUGCUGAAGGUUUCGUCGAGGAGAAACAAGGCCAACUAUUAGAAGACACAGCAGAAGAGUACUACUAUGAGCUAAUCCAUCGGAAUCUCCUCCAUCCAGAUAGUGUAAUUUUUGACCAGGCCGAAUGCAGAAUGCAUGACCUUUUGAGACAACUUGCUUGCUAUAUAUCAAGAGAAGAAUGUUUUAUUGGGGAUGUUGAAACAUUAAGUGGUCAAAAUAUGUCAAAACUGCGACGUGUUAAUGCUAUCAGCAAGAAGGGUAAAGUAGUGUUACCUAGAAUGGAUAAGAUGGAAAUUAAGGUGAGGACUUUCCUAGUUGUUAAUGGUCCACGGAGAAUCGAUGAUACACUAUUCAAGAAAUUUCUGCUUCUUCGUGUUCUGGUACUGAAUUACUCACUUGUGCAAAGCAUUCCAGAUUAUAUAGGAAAACUGAUACAUCUACGCCUACUUAAUCUAGAUUAUACUAGCAUAUCUUGUCUUCCGGAAUCCAUUGGCUCCUUAAAGAACCUUCAAGUUCUGAGCUUGAGAUGGUGCGAGAAUCUGCAUAGUCUUCCUUGGGCGACGACCCAGUUGUGCAGUUUAAGACGUCUUGUUCUCGUCUGCACAAAAAUAAAUCAGGUUCCAAAAGGAAUAGGAAAAUUGAAGUUCCUGACUGAUUUACGAGCAUUUCCUGUUGGUGACGGAAGUGAUAAUGUUGAUAUGCAAGAUGGAUGGCAGUUGGAAGAGUUAUCUUCUGUGUCGCAGAUGAGGUUUCUUGGUCUUGUUAGAUUGGAAAGGGUGACUCAUUGUAGUACAAAUACAGUGUUGACGGACAAAAAGCAUCUAAAAGAACUAAGACUAUUCUGGACUGAACGUGGAGAGGAACCAUAUACCGAAGAAGAUGUUAGCAAUGCUCAGAAUGUCCUUGAGCAGCUAAUACCUCCACGCAACCUGGAAAACCUAACUAUUUCACGGUUUUUUGGUCGGCGUUAUCCCACAUGGCUUGGUACCAGCUGUUUGUCUUCAGUGAUACACUUGCUCCUCACCGAUUUACGAUCAUGUGUGGAACUUCCACCAAUUGGGCAGCUACCAAACUUGAAAUAUCUGAAAAUUGAUGGAGCAUAUGCAGUUACCAAGGUUGGACCUGAAUUUGUUGGUUGCAGGAACAGUGAUCCCGUAUGGAAUGAGUUAGUUGCUUUCCCUAAACUUGAAUGGUUAAUAAUCAUGGAUAUGCCAAACUGGGAGGAGUGGUCUUUUUUUGAAGAAGAAACUGCUGAGGAUGAAGGGGGGGAGGAUGGAGCUGCUGAAAUUCGAAAAGAUGAUGUCCGAUCUGCAGGAUAUCAACUGUUCCCUCGUUUGAUGGUGUUGGAUCUCUUCAAUUGCCAUAAAUUGAGGGCUCUUCCGCGACGGCUUGGAGAGGAUACCGCCAGCUUGAAGGAGCUCAGAUUAAUUGGAACAAACAACUUGAAGGCCCUGGAGGACUUCCCACUGCUGUCUGAGCUCCUUAUUAUUCAGAAAUGUGAAAGCUUGGAGAGGAUCUCCAACCUCCCUCAAGUGACAGAGCUGCGUGUACAUGGCUGUCCGAACUUGAGCCAUGUGGAGGGUGUGGGAAGCUUGCAGCAGCUGGGGCUGGGCGAGGAUAUGCAAGAGAUAUCUUCCUGCUGGGUGUCUGGUCUUCAAGAGCAGCACCAACGACUUCAUGGCGAUGACCUGGAUAUCUACACAUUGUCUACCAGUUAG